rnacentral:misc_RNA from 1 species
CACGGUGGGUGGAUAGGGG